AUUACCGCGGCUGCUGGCACAGAGUUAGCCGGUGCUUAUUCUGUCGGUAACGUCAAAAUUGCAGAGUAUUAAUCUACAACCCUUCCUCCCAACUUAAAGUGCUUUACAAUCCGAAGACCUUCUUCACACACGCGGCAUGGCUGGAUCAGGCUUUCGCCCAUUGUCCAAUAUUCCCCACUGCUGCCUCCCGUAGGAGUCUGGACCGUGUCUCAGUUCCAGUGUGGCUGGUCAUCCUCUCAGACCAGCUACGGAUCGUCGCCUUGGUGAGCCAUUACCUCACCAACUAGCUAAUCCGACCUAGGCUCAUCUGAUAGCGCAAGGCCCGAAGGUCCCCUGCUUUCUCCCGUAGGACGUAUGCGGUAUUAGCGUUCCUUUCGAAACGUUGUCCCCCACUACCAGGCAGAUUCCUAGGCAUUACUCACCCGUCCGCCGCUGAAUCCAGGAGCAAGCUCCUUUCAUCCGCUCGACUUGCAUGUGUUAGGCCUGCCGCCAGCGUUCAAUCUGAGCCAGGAUCAAACUCU
rnacentral:rRNA from 1 species